rnacentral:rRNA from 1 species
GAUGAACGCUAGCGGGAGGCCUAACACAUGCAAGCCGAGCGGUAUUUGUCUUUCGGGACAGAGAGAGCGGCGUACGGGUGCGGAACACGUGUGCAACCUGCCUUUAUCUGGGGGAUAGCCUUUCGAAAGGAAGAUUAAUACCCCAUAAUAUAAUGAAUGGCAUCAUUUAUUAUUGAAAACUCCGGCGGAUAGAGAUGGGCACGCGCAAGAUUAGAUAGUUGGUGAGGUAACGGCUCACCAAGUCGAUGAUCUUUAGGGGGCCUGAGAGGGUGGUCCCCCACACUGGUACUGAGACACGGACCAGACUCCUACGGGAGGCAGCAGUGAGGAAUAUUGGACAAUGGGUUAGCGCCUGAUCCAGCCAUCCCGCGUGAAGGACGACGGCCCUAUGGGUUGUAAACUUCUUUUGUACAGGGAUAAACCUACUCUCGUGAGAGUAGCUGAAGGUACUGUACGAAUAAGCACCGGCUAACUCCGUGCCAGCCGCCGCCGUAA